AUUGAACGCUGGCGGCAUGCCUUACACAUGCAAGUCGAACGGCAGCACGGGGCAACCUGGUGGCGAGUGGCGAACGGGUGAGUAAUGUAUCGGAACGUACCAUUGAGUGGGGGAUAACGUAGCGAAAGUUACGCUAAUACCGCAUAUACCCUGAGGGGGAAAGCAGGGGAUCUUAGGACCUUGUGCUCUUUGAGCGGCCGAUAUCAGAUUAGCUAGUUGGUGAGGUAAAGGCUCACCAAGGCGACGAUCUGUAGCGGGUCUGAGAGGGUGAUCCGCCACACUGGGACUAAGACACGGCCAAGACUCCCACGGGGGGCAGCAGUGGGGAAGUUUGGACAAUGGGCGCAAGCCAGAUCCAGCCAUGCCGCGUGAGUGAAGAAGGCCUUCGGGUUUUAAAGCUCUUUCAGCCGGGAAGAAAUCGGUUAGGUUAAUACCCGAAUCGGAUGACGGUACCGGAAUAAGAAGCACCGGCUAACUACGUGCCAGCCGCCGCGGUAACAC
rnacentral:rRNA from 1 species